UGCGCGUAAAUUGCCCGAAUCCUGACACAGGGAGGUAGUGACAAGAAAUAACAAUACAGGGCUACUUCUAGUCUUGUAAUUGGAAUGAGUACAACUUACAUCUCUUCACGAGGAUCAAUUGGAGGGCAAGUCUGGUGCCAGCAGCCGCGGUAAUUCCAGCUCCAAUAGCGUAUAUUAAAGUUGUUGCAGUUAAAAAGCUCGUAGUCGGAUUUCGGGUCGGGCCGAGCGGUCUGCCGAUGGGUAUGCACUGUUCGGCGCGGCCUUCUUUCCGGAGACCGCGGCUACUCUUAACUGAGCGGGCGUGGGAGACGGAUCGUUUACUUUGAAAAAAUCAGAGUGUUUCAAGCAGGCAGCUCGCUCUUGCAUGGAUUAGCAUGGGAUAAUGAAAUAGGACUCUGGUGCUAUUUUGUUGGUUUCGAACACCGGAGUAAUGAUUAACAGGGACAGUCAGGGGCAUCGUAUUCC
rnacentral:rRNA from 1 species